rnacentral:rRNA from 1 species
GGCGNUCAGGAAAGUCUGGAGUAAAAGGCUAUGGNUCAACCAUAGUGUGCUCUGGAAACUNUCUGACUUGAGUGCAGAAGGGGAGAGUGGAAUUCCAUGUGUAGCGGUGAAAUGCGUAGAUAUAUGGAGGAACACCAGUGGCGAAAGCGGCUCUCUGGUCUGUCACUGACGCUGAGGCUCGAAAGCGUGGGUAGCGAACAGGAUUAGAUACCCUGGUAGUNCACGCCGUAAACGAUGAGUGCUAGGUGUUAGGCCCUUUCCGGGGCUUAGUGCCGGAGCUAACGCAAUAAGCACUCCGCCUGGGGAGUACGACCGCAAGGUUGAAACUCAAAGGAAUUGACGGGGGCCCGCACAAGCGGUGGAGCAUGUGGUUUAAUUCGAAGCAACGCGAAGAACCUUACCAGGUCUUGACAUCCCGAUGCUAUUCUUAGAGAUAGGAAGUUACUUCGGUACAUCGGAGACAGGUGGUGCAUGGUUGUCGUCAGCUCGUGUCGUGAGAUGUUGGGUUAAGUCCCGCAACGAGCGCAACCCUUAUUGUUAGUUGCCAUCAUUAAGUUGGGCACUCUAGCGAGACUGCCGGUAAUAAACCGGAGGAAGGUGGGGAUGACGUCAAAUCAUCAUGCCCCUUAUGACCUGGGCUACACACGUGCUACAAUGGUCGGUACAACGAGUUGCGAGCCGGUGACGGCAAGCUAAUCUCUGAAAGCCGAUCUCAGUUCGGAUUGGAGGCUGCAACUCGCCUCCAUGAAGUCGGAAUCGCUAGUAAUCGCGGGUCAGCACGCCGCGGUGAAUACGUUCCCGGGCCUUGUACACACCGCCCGUCACACCGCGAGAGUUUGUAACACCCGAAGUCGGUGAGGUANCCUUUUAGGGGCCA